AAGCUGUGAACAGACAAAGGGAAAAUUUCAGUGAUGCAGCAAGACCUUUAAUAGACUUUUGCAUGAUUUAUUGAUGUAGAUAUACUGUAAAUAAAUGGACAUUAAAGGGCAAAUAAAAUGUUUUUUCUUUAACAGACAAUUAGGAAAUGAACAGUAUAAAUAGAACACAGUCAUCACCACUUUAUUUUAUGUAAUUUCAAUCUACUGUCAAAUUCUUUUCAUAUACAAAUUCACCUUGUCUUGUAAUCUUGAAUACUUAGAAAUCUUGCAUAAUGAAACAUGUUAUUUACAUUGUGGAUGACUCACAAAUAAUUACAAAUAAAAGGUAUACAAAAUGAUUAAAAUAUAUCAUUACAUGAAAAGCAAGGAAGAUAUAGUAGAUGAUCUGAUUAACUAUAAAUGCUUACAUAUUGGUACAUAUAUUUCUAAUCUGAAAUUACUAGAUGAUAUAUUUGAUGAUUUUGAUCAGUAAUACUGGUUCUUAUGCCUGCACUACUGGAGAGGAAGCAAUAUUUCCAGAUAUAAUGAGCCACUUAGGAAACUAUGAAACUGCAUAGGAUGAAAUGUAGUCAUUUUAGAAAACAAAAAUAAAAUAUUUGACAUUGUAAAAUAUAAGCAGUUUAAUUCAUGCCAUACAGAUACAUCAUAUAUUAAACCAAUACUGUAAUAUGGCAUUUUAAAUAAACCAUAACAGAGCUAAAAUUUUAAAAAUAAGCAAUUCACAUGGCAUUUGUAUCAUAAAACAGCAGAUAUACAGUGUUAUUUACAUUGCAAACCAAAGAGAGAGUAACCCCAUGAAACUGCAGCAAAUUGAUCAAAACAUUAAUCACAGACCUGAUUCAUAAAAUACAUAGGAAUGUAUAUAGAAUGUAUGGAAAACCAAGUCCUUAGAUAUCUGAAAUGCUGCAUUAGAUACUAGGUGUGUGGCUCCCAUCUACAGCCACCCAAUGAGGUAUGGCCGCAGUCCUUCCAUCCUUGCUCGCAGAAAAGUUUGCAGAAGGCCUAGGACCAAGGGUCCCAGCAUCCUUUAUGCUACCUGUUCACUUGAGCACAUGCAGGACUGCAGCCGAAAUGGCCCAUGUAACCAACCCUGAAACCCAAAUGCAGGAUAGGGGAAAGCGCUUUCUUCUGCCGAUGUGGGAUGUUUUACACAAAAAAGUGCCAGACUAUGGUUCCAUCUAUAGACUAAGCAUUACCCAGCAAAUAUAACACUUGCAGAAUCAGACCACUGACGUUUUGUGCAGCAGCGAGUGUAGGAUAGGGCUUCAAAGCUUUUGCAGACUUUUAGCCCAAAGACUCCUAUUAGCUGUGAUAGAAGUCAUGUGGUUUUGCUUUGCAAGGAUUAUCAGGAGGUAGGAAGUCUGCAGUUGUUCAGAACACCAGGUUUCUGACAUAGCAGUAUUGACCAAGGUUUUCACUGCACUGUAAUAAUCUACUUUAUUAGUAGAUUUAUUAGGUUUCUGAACCAAUUUAUUAGGUUCAGAAAAAAAACACGAAUCAGUCUGAUUCACGGUAACAUUCAAAAUUCCUAUCACAAAGCCUUGCUGGAAAAUGAACCUUACUUGCAGAAUCCUAGCAUAGUUAUUUGGAUAUAGACCAUUUCAGCAAUGAACCUUUAAACAAUGGUUAUUAAAAAUGACAGUCACUUCUUGACCCAUGGCAGUGUCAGAGCUAUUCAGAAUAAAAUUUACCUGCGGCAACUCA
ensembl:lncRNA